AUGGCUACCGCGAAAGCUCUAGCCACCAUGGCAAUCUUCCUGCUGGUGGCGCUCUCCACCUCCUACAUCGCAUCCUCACUUCGCCCGGGUCUCGGUGUCUGUCGUGCAAGUGGCUACCUUCCUGCUGGCAACUGUGAGAAGAGCAAUGACCCGGACUCUUGUGAGGACGGCAAGAGCACAAAGGCCGUCUUGACGCUCAACGGCUUUGAGAAGGGCAAGGACGGUGGCGGCCCAUCGGAGUGUGACAAUGCCUACCAUAGCGAUGAGGAGAUGGUUGUCGCGCUGUCCACCGGCUGGUUCAAGAACAUGGCCCGUUGCAGGCACUGUAUCAAGAUCACUGUCAAUGGCAACUCCGUGUACGCCAAGGUGGUGGACGAGUGCGACUCCAUGUAUGGCUGUGACGACGAUCACAACUACGAACCGCCAUGUACCAACAACAUAGUCGACGCCUCUCCAGCAGUGUGGAACGCGUUGGGGCUCGACCAGAAUGUCAGCAUGGAGGGCAUCACCUGGUUUGACGAGUGA
rnacentral:rRNA from 1 species